GGAACUCUCUUCCAUGGCGACUCUAUCUUAUCCUUCAUUUCUCAACUCUAAUGUCACCUUCUUCGAGAAGCCUUUCUUGAUCAUUUGAGCUCAAGUCCCUUCCCCACCUCCUCCCCACCCCCAGGGCUACCCACCACAUCACGUUUUCUUUUCUUUUUCUUUUUGCUUCUUGCUCCCUCGCUGGAAUUUUAUUUGUCAUCUACCUCCUCUAGUGGGGUGAGCUCUUGUGGGCAGGGACCGUGCUUGUUUAGUUCACUGCUCUACUGCCUGGCAUAUAGUAGGUGCUCCAUAAACAUGUGUGGAAUGAAUGAAUGAGUGCAGGACGGAUGGAAAUAGUUGAAGAAUCCAGGUGCUAAGAGGAGGAGAAGAAGGCCCAGGGCCCAGGCUGGGGUCUGAGACCUCCUUUCCCUGGGUCUCCCUGGCCUGGAGAGGGGCCUCUGCCAGGGUGGGAGGGUGGAGGGGUGGGUGUGGGGGCAGCGGGCAGGGCUGGGCGAGGCCUCCUCACUCCUUACUGUUUUCAUCCUCUCGGUAAUUAUGGGCUCAGACACUCCUCGAUGCCUUCUCAGAAUAAUAGCCGGGCCUGUUAUCAGCAGCAUCUCCCGGACCUUUUCACAAACAGUCAUUAAUCAAGUCUCGCUGCCACCCUGCCCUCCCUCCUGGUGGAAACCGAGGCACAGAGAGAUUCCAAUCAAGAAUUGGGCUCUACAUUUGAUGGCAAGUCUCUUUGGUGUCUGGAACAUUCUCCCCGCCUUUGCGUGAUAGAUAACACCUUCACCUGGCACCAAAUACACAGACUUUUCAGCAGAAGGAAGCAUCCAAACUUGGGAAGUCUCGUCUCAGGGCCAUGGAGAACCUGUGAGGUCUCUGGAGUCCGUGCCAUAGGGGGGCCCGGGGCACAGCUCAUUGGGUCAGGAAGAAGGGGCUUGGCUCACAGAGUGCUUGAGAAUGAAGGUCUUAAAAGUGGGCGCUGGUCCCACCUGAAGGCCCCUCACUGUCUCCAGGACAGAGCUUCCAGCCUGUCUCCCACUUCCCCUGGCCCAGCCCCAUUGUUUCCCGCCCUGACCACUGGGGCGCCUCCUCCCCAGGCUCCCUGCUUCUGCCUAGGGCCCUACAGGCCUGGCAUGACACACCCCAUUGCCUCUUGGAGCUCACCUGCCCCUAGCCUCGUCCCUUCCUCGGCUCCAGGGCUCUGGCCUCCUUGCUGCCCCAUGACGGGCUCCUCGACUGCUGUACCACCCCCCAUGCAGGCAGAUUCUCUCCUCCUUUGGGGGGAGGGCAGCCUGGCCCCCAGCAUCCUGCCUGCCCACCCUGCAGGAGUAGGCCCUCCUGCCACACCUGCUUGCAGCUCCCUGUCUCCCCACCACCAAGCUCUUUACUACUGUUUGAAGAAACACAUUCAUGGGUCUGCUCACUGGGCAACCGCCCCUGUCUGCUUAGGGUGUCAGUCCCAGGGGGGCCAGCUGGGGUCUGGGGGCUGUGCCCCAGGGCCUGGAACAGUGUUGGUGUGUGGUAUGCAGUAGAUGCUCGAUGCAUGCUUGGUGAAUGAAUGAGCACUAGCGCUUUAAUGUCAGGCAUUGGAGUCUCUGCAUGGUUCUGAAAAUUCCAGCAAUGGAAUCCCUCAAGGCUCACGGGCCCCAGGCCAGCUCCUGCUGCGGGACACCUUCUGCCUCCGUAGCUGCCAUCUGCCCCAGGAGAGCCCUUCCACGUGUGACAGAGCUGGUCCCGUGAGGCGCAGGAAACAGGCCGGGGAGGCUGGAAGCCCUCAGCAACCUUCUCACGGCGUGACACCUCAAAGUUGAUAACCUCUCUGCUCUCUGUGCCCCGAUUUCCUUGUCUCUGCAAAAGAGAGUGAAUAAUUUCUGGGACUUCCUUUAUUUCUCUUCCAAAUAUGCUUAUUAUUUUAUUGGCUUGUGGUGAAGCUCAGAGAAGUUUAUGGGUGGGGGAACUUCACCACUGCAACCUCCCUGGCAGCAGAAACAAUUCUUGCCAGGAGCUGACCAUGUGUGGGCCUGGAAUGGGCGUGUUCCUGGCUGAGGCCACUGUCUGCCCUGGGCUUGGCACACAGGGCUCUUUCUGCCUGGCCGGGCCUCCUUUCAGAGACUCGAACUCACUAGGCUGCCUCUAGUCUCAGGGCUUUGGCAGGUGCUGUUCCCUCUGCUUGAGAUGUUCUUCCUUCUAUCCUCAGCCUGGUUAAAUUCCUACCUCUGAUUCUGAUUUUGGCUCAAACACCACCUCUUUCAGGAAGCCUUCCCUGAUGACACCCCAUGAUUCAGGUCACUCGGUUAAACUUUUUUAAACAACUUUUUUUUUUUAAUCGCCAUUGCAUUACUUUAUUUAUUUGUUCUCAGCUCCCAGAAGGCUCCCUACCCCAUCAUCUGAGGUUAGAUUUCCCCUGGAGGGAAGUUGGGAGGCCCAGGCCCGUGAAUCAGCAAAGUUCUCCUUCCCCUCUUGGCACUUUGUCUGCAGAGGGUGAGAGAUGGUUUCCUCCAAGGGGACUAAGUCCAGGGGUGCAUAGAUGCCGGGGAGGUGGUGGGCAGGGUCUCUCCCCAUCCCCCAGACAGCCUUGGCCCAUCAUCGGCUCUCUACCUCCAUGACAACAGCUCCCUGCCUGAACCCCACCCCCCUUGACUGCUCUCCCUUCCCCCAUCCUUCCUGGAGAGCCAGAGGGAGCUUUCCAAAAUCCAAAUCUAGGGGCACCUGGGUGGCCCAGUGGCUCAGUGGUUGAGCGUCUGCCUUUGGCUUCAGGUUGUGAUCCUGGGGUCCUGAGAUCGAGUCCCGCAUCGGGCUUCCUGCAGGGAACCUGCUUCUCCCUCCUCCUGUGUCUCUGCCUCUCUCUCUCUGUGUCUCUCAUGAAUAAAUAAAUAAAUAAAAUCUUAAAAAAACCCA
rnacentral:lncRNA from 12 species